AGUGAACGCUGGCGGUAGGCCUAACACAUGCAAGUCGAACGGCAGCACAGUAAGAGCUUGCUCUUACGGGUGGCGAGUGGCGGACGGGUGAGGAAUACAUCGGAAUCUACUUUUUCGUGGGGGAUAACGUAGCGAAACUUACGCUAAUACCGCAUACGACCUACGGGUGAAAGCAGGGGAUCUUCGGACCUUGCGCGAUUGAAUGAGCCGAUGUCGGAUUAGCUAGUUGGCGGGGUAAAGGCCCACCAAGGCGACGAUCCGUAGCUGGUCUGAGAGGAUGAUCAGCCACACUGGAACUGAGAUACGGUCCAGACUCCUACGGGAGGCAGCAGUGGGGAAUAUUGGACAAUGGGCGCAAGCCUGAUCCAGCCAUACCGCGUGGGUGAAGAAGGCCUUCGGGUUGUAAAGCCCUUUUGUUGGGAAAGAAAAGCAGCAGGUUAAUACCCCGCUGUUCUGACGGUACCCAAAGAAUAAGCACCGGCUAACUUCGUG
rnacentral:rRNA from 1 species